rnacentral:rRNA from 1 species
ACAGCAGCAGCCGCGGUAAUACAGAGGGUGCGAGCGUUAAUCGGAUUUACUGGGCGUAAAGCGUGCGUAGGCGGCUUCUUAAGUCGGAUGUGAAAUCCCUGAGCUUAACUUAGGAAUUGCAUUCGAUACUGGGAAGCUAGAGUAUGGGAGAGGAUGGUAGAAUUCCAGGUGUAGCGGUGAAAUGCGUAGAGAUAUGGAGGAAUACCGAUGGCGAAGGCAGCCAUCUGGCCUAAUACUGACGCUGAGGUACGAAAGCAUGGGGAGCAAACAGGAUUAGAUACCCCAGUAGUCCCUGUCUCUUAUAC